CAGAAUCCACGAGAAAGUGAUACUCCUGGGUAAAAGCACUAACCUCCAAGCUUCCUCUGCCCAAAGGCUCAUGGAUGAAGAAGGGAUUGCAAAAGAAGAGAGAGAAAGACAAGCACGUCACCCGCCGGGCCUGCCAAUGGAACAGUAUCUUUGACAGUUACAAGACAGAGCACGCAUUGUAUCAGGACAGCCGUGACAGGCCAAGUGUGCAUAUUGACAGGACACCAUGGCAGCAUCUGGCAGGUUGUUCCAGACGAAUGCCGCCCCAGCCUUGUCAAUGUGAUGCCGCCAGACACAUUUCACAGACUGGCUCCUCACAGCUCCUCUGAGGGGAAGGUGUCCUGUGCAGAGCCAUCCCAAGCUUUUUGCUAGCUGCUGUUCACAAGAACUGUAUGUGGCAUUGGACACUGACAAGAGGACGUUUGAGUUUUACCCCAAA